CCUACGGGUGGCAGCAGUGAGGAAUAUUGGUCAAUGGCCGGAAGGCUGAACCAGCAAUGCCGCGUGAAGGUCAGUGCCCUAUGGGCGUUAAACUUCUGUUGUGCGGGAGCAAUAAUGGUCACGUGUGGCCAGACGAGAGUACCGUACGCAUAAGCAUCGGCUAACUCCGUGCCAGCAGCCGCGGUAAUACGGGGGAUGCAAGCGUUAUCCGGAUUUAAGGGGUGUAAAGGAUGCGUAGGCUGUGAGGUAAGUCAGCGGUGAAAUGCCCCCGCUCAACGGGGUGAAGUGCCAUUGAUACUGCCUUGCUGGAAUGCGGAUGCGGUGGGAGGAAUGUGUGGUGUAGGGGUGAAAUGCAUAGAUAUCACACAGAACACCGAUUGCGAAGGCAUCUCACGAAUCCGCGAUUGACGCUGAUGCACGAAAGCGUGGGUAUCAAACAGGAUUAGAUACCCUAGUAGUC
rnacentral:rRNA from 1 species